rnacentral:rRNA from 1 species
UGAGGAAUAUUGGUCAAUGGGCGAGAGCCUGAACCAGCCAAGUAGCGUGCAGGAUGACGGCCCUAUGGGUUGUAAACUGCUUUUAUAUGGGAAUAAAGUGAGGGACGUGUCCCUUAUUGCAUGUACCAUACGAAUAAGGACCGGCUAAUUCCGUGCCAGCAGCCGCGGUAAUACGUAAGGGGCGAGCGUUGUCCGGAAUUAUUGGGCGUAAAGAGUGCGUAGGCGGCAAAUUAAGUCAGAUGUGAAAACUAAGGGCUCAACCCAUAGAUUGCAUCUGAAACUGAUAUGCUUGAGUCAAGGAGAGGAAAGUGGAAUUCCUAGUGUAGCGGUGGAAUGCGUAGAUAUUAGGAGGAAUACCGGUGGCGAAGGCGACUUUCUGGACUUGAACUGACGCUGAGGCACGAAAGCGUGGGGAGCAAACAGG